rnacentral:lncRNA from 1 species
GCUAGUGCUCUCUGCUAUUGAAAUUGAGCUUUCAAGGCAUGUUUUCCAAAUUAAGUACUCACCUAUGGUUCAUUUGACCCUUCACAGGGAUUGAGACGGGAGGAAAACGAAUGUUCACUGUAAGCUGGAACAUGCUGGAAGCUGUUUAAAUGGAAGGGGCUGUUUCUAACCCCUCGGUUUCCCAAGAAGUUAAAUGCUGACCGUUUGAAACUGUCAGCGUUUCAAAUAUAUGGGCACUAGCAAGUGGGCUUCAAUGGAUAUAAUCUUUUUGUAAAAAAAUACAAAAAGAUAAAUGACAAGAAAACAAGACAAUGUAAAAGAGGAAUUUGAAAAACAAGAGCUGAUGGCCAUUGGUUUUAUAUGGGACUACACAAUGAGAGUUGCUGUUCACAUCGAUGUGAAACAUUGUCCAGUUUUAAGUGAAUGGAUGGAUGACCUGGCUGAAACCAGUUCCAACUGAGGUCUUCCCCAAGC